rnacentral:rRNA from 1 species
AUACGGAGGGUGCAAGCGUUACUCGGAAUCACUGGGCGUAAAGAGCGUGUAGGCGGGUUGAUAAGUUUGAAGUGAAAUCCUAUAGCUUAACUAUAGAACUGCUUUGAAAACUGUUAACCUAGAAUAUGGGAGAGGUAGAUGGAAUUUCUGGUGUAGGGGUAAAAUCCGUAGAGAUCAGAAGGAAUACCGAUUGCGAAGGCGAUCUACUGGAACAUUAUUGACGCUGAGACGCGAAAGCGUGGGUAGCAAACAGGAUUAGAUACCCUGGUAGUCCACGCCCUAAACGAUGUACACUAGUUGUUGUGAGGCUCGACCUUGCAGUAAUGCAGUUAACACAUUAAGUGUACCGCCUGGGGAGUACGGUCGCAAGAUUAAA